rnacentral:lncRNA from 1 species
GUUUUCUUUCAUUAUCCUUCCACUUAUUUUUAUGACGUGUCCUUCUUUUACUGUUAAAUUGUCUUUUUUCUUUACAACACUCGAUAACCACAACAUCUAUAUCAGACAUUUUGGAAAAUUUGGAGGCAAUUUGAGAACUACACUUUGAUUGGUUAGUUUCAUUUCUGCGAACCUAUCAGGAAUAUUGACUCUAACCGUUAGAGAUGAAAAACAAAGAAGAUGGCAUGUGCCCUUUUUCCAUUAACUAUUUCUAGCAUUCAGAAUCUAGAGAUUUUUUUAUGCUCCUUAUUAAAGAAUAUGCACAUGCCGCCAUGCAAAUCGUUAUUGGAAUUGACGCUAGAUAGCAGGAGCUACUUAACCAUAACAAAAACUCUAAAUCAGCAGGUUUGUGGCAUGUGCCUGUUUUCCACUGGUCAACUCAAAUGUCAG